UUCAAGACAAAAGAGGAACCGAAGAGCCACCCUGAACAGGAUGCGCUGCCUACCAAACGUCUCAGAGAGACUCGUAUUUCACAGAAUGCUGAGUGUGAGGUUCCAGAGGUUCCAUCCACUUCCCCACCCAAGGAGGACCUGACAACCACACUGGCCCCUGCUCCCCAGGAGUCCCAGUCCCGUAAACGCCCUCUCAUAGUCAGGGUGUUACGAGCUAUCUCCAGAGCCGUCUCCAAACCAUUCAGAGGAGCUUUUGGGAAGAAGAAUUAGCCAAAUGCCUGAUUUUAUUACUAUUUUAAUCAGAGCCUUUAUUUAAUAAAACAUUACUGCAUUGA